AUUGAACGCUGGCGGCAGGCCUAACACAUGCAAGUCGAGCGGAUGAAGGGAGCUUGCGCCUGGAUUCAGCGGCGGACGGGUGAGUAAUGCCUAGGAAUCUGCCUGGUAGUGGGGGAUAACGUCCGGAAACGGGCGCUAAUACCGCAUACGUCCUGAGGGAGAAAGUGGGGGAGCUUCGGACCUCACGCUAUCAGAUGAGCCUAGGUCGGAUUAGCUAGUUGGUGGGGUAAAGGCCUACCAAGGCGACGAUCCGUAACUGGUCUGAGAGGAUGAUCAGUCACACUGGAACUGAGCCACGGUCCAGACUCCUACGGGAGGCAGCAGUCGGGAAUAUUGGACAAUGGGCGAAAGCCUGAUCCAGCCAUGCCGCGUGUGUGAAGAAGGUCUUCGGAUUGUAAAGAACUUCAAGUUGGGAGGAAGGGCAGUAAGUUAAUACCUUGCUGUUUUGACGUUACCAACAGAAUAAGCACCGGCUAACUUCGUG
rnacentral:rRNA from 1 species